GAUUUUUAUUUAUCUUUAAUAAAAGUAUGAAAUAUAUUUUUGGUAUUGUUUGAAAAUAUUUUAUUUCAUGUUUCUUUUUCUGUUAAUGAUCAGCAUUGUCUGGUUUUAAGCAAGCGUGUUCCAUUGAUUCUAGUGCGAUAUGUUGUGGGUUCGAACCCCGGUAGGUCAAACCAAUGACUUAAAAAUUGAUAGAAUAAUGUGUCCAGGUAUAGGUCUUCCAGCAGAAUAAGGUGUCCAGGUAGGUCUUCC
rnacentral:lncRNA from 1 species